rnacentral:rRNA from 1 species
UCAGAACGAACGCUGGCGGCGUGCCUAACACAUGCAAGUCGAGCGCGAAUGGAGCAAUCCUAGUAGAGCGGCGCACGGGUGCGUAACACGUGGGUAAUCUGCCUGGAAGAUGGGGAUAACCAGUCGAAAGAUUGGCUAAUACCCAAUAAGCCCACGGGGACUUCGGUCCCUGAGGGAAAAGGUGGCCUCUGUAUACAAGCUAUCACUUCCAGAUGAGCCCGCGGCCCAUCAGCUAGUUGGCGGGGUAACGGCCCACCAAGGCGACGACGGGUAGCUGGUCUGAGAGGACGAUCAGCCACACUGGAACUGAGACACGGUCCAGACUCCUACGGGAGGCAGCAGUGGGGAAUUUUGCGCAAUGGGCGAAAGCCUGACGCAGCAACGCCGCGUGUGUGAUGAAGGUCUUCGGAUUGUAAAGCACUUUCGACCGGGACGAAAACCCUGAAGCUAACAUCUUCAGGUUUGACGGUACCGGGAGAAGAAGCACCGGCUAACUCUGUGCCAGCAGCCGCGGUAA